rnacentral:lncRNA from 1 species
GGCUAAGUGAAACCUGGAUUGAUACCUAGGUAGCUGGGAGAAUCUGACAUUUUACUUGCCAGCACAUAAUAGGUAAUCAAUAACUAAGUUGAAUAAAUUGAGGGGAGAGGGGAGCAUGUCUCAGUGACUCUUGGCAUUGAUUGCCUUCCCUACAGAUACUAUAAAAUCCACUCCUGAAUUUGAGCAGAGCUUUAAAAACAUGAUUUUAGUAAAAGCAGGCAUAUCUUCACGAUCACAAUCGGGACAAGUUAUUUUAAAAAUGGCGGGGAGUUGGGGGGGGAGGUGGCGGCAAAGUUCCCUGAAUUUCUAAAGGGGAAAUGGUGGUUUCUUUGCUGCAGGAGUGCAGACGGCUUCGUGAUUCCUGAGUGUGAAGUGUUUAACUCCGCUUCCUCCCCACGUUCCUGUUUUGAGACGGGCUGUAGCCCCUUCUCCUUCCUUCAUCCUCCUUCCAGUAAGGAAAAAGGAAAGAUCAAAACUCUAAACCGGCUUUACCCCUCCCCCUCUUCCUGGGGGAGCUAAAGCUGAAAGUACCAUUCCGUGAUUUACUGGAGAGAGAUGAGGGUGGAGGCAGCAAAGAACUCCACUCCGAGUGCCAAAACGAAGUUGGCAAUUCCUCGGAGAGGACCGAGAGAGAAAAAGAGAACCCUGGAGAAGUGAAGAAAGUGAUUGGGAUGCCAGUUCAUUGCAUGCAGUUUAUCUGCCUGAGUAAGAGCAAAGCAUGGAGUUUCAGCUUCCCAGUACUUU